rnacentral:rRNA from 1 species
AGAUUGAACGCUGGCGGCAUGCCUAACACAUGCAAGUCGAACGGCUUUUUAGCGCGGGGGCAACCCUGGCGGCGAGUGGCGGACGGGUGAGGAAUACAUAGGAAUCUACCCUGUCGUGGGGGAUAACGUAGGGAAACUUACGCUAAUACCGCAUACGACCGAGAGGUGAAAGCGGCGGACCGCAAGGCGUCGCGCGGCUGGAUGAGCCUAUGUCCGAUUAGCUAGUUGGCGGGGUAAGACGCCCACCGAAAGGCGACGAGUCGGUAGCGUGGUCUGAGAGGAUGAUCGAGCCACACGUGGGACUGACGACACCGGCCCAGACCUCCGUACGGGAGCAGCGAAGGGUGGGAAUAGUUAGGAAC